GAAUAGAAAAAAUUAUUAGAUUUAAUAAUUUAUUUAAAUUUUAUAAAAAAAAUUUUAUGUUUAAUUAAAAAUUAUGAAUAAAUUAAUUUUAUUAUAGUGAAUAAGUAUUGUGAAAGAAUUUUAUGUAUAAUUAAAAGAAAAAUUUAAUUUUUGUACCUUGUGUAUCAGGGUUAAUUAAUUUAGAUUUUACUAUUAAAAUUUCUCGAAUUUAAAAGAGCUAAUUGUUUAUUUAUUUAAUUGUUGAAUAAAUUUUUAUAAUAAAUAAUUAGUAAUGAAACGUUAUUCGUUUUUAAAUAUAUCUAGUUUUUAAAGAAAUAAAUUUAAUUUAUGUUAUUUAUAAUAUAAAAUUUUAAUUUUUUAAGGUUUUGUUUUAAAUAAGUAAUUAUAUUAGGGAUAAGCUUAAUAUAAAAAUUUUAUAAUUUAAUAUAAAUAUAAAAUAAUUUAUAAAAUUAAAAUUUUUUAUUGAUAAAAAAAUGUUAUAAUUAAUUAUUUUUAAUUAAUAUUUAUAUUAAAAUUUAAGUUAUUUAUUUAAAUUUAUUUAUUAAUUUUAUAUAUUUAGUAAUAAUGAUUAAAUUAGUAUAAAUUAAAAUGUAUAGUUAAAUUAUUUUUAAAGGUUAAUUUAAGGAAUUCGGCAAAUAAAUUUUUCACCUGUUUAAUAAAAACAUGUCUUUUUGAUUAUAAUUUAAAGUCUAAUCUGCCCACUGAGAAAUUAAAUGGCCGCGGUAUUUUGACCGUGCAAAGGUAGCAUAAUAAUUAGUUUUUUAAUUGAAAGCUGGUAUGAAUGAUUGAAUGAGAAAAUAGCUGUCUCAAGUUAAUUUUUUUAGAAUUUUAUAUUUAAGUUAAAAAGCUUAAAUUUAGUUAAAAGACGAGAAGACCCUAUAGAGUUUAAUAAAUUUUAUUAUUUAAGUUAAUAAUUUUUAGUAUUUAAAUAGUUAGAAUUUA
rnacentral:rRNA from 1 species